AUUGUUAGAAACAGCUAGUUCUGUGUGGAAACUCAUGUUUUUUAUAGCUGAUCCACAUGUUCUUCAGAAGUACACUCACUCUGGCAAAGAUCCAUUCCUGCAUAUAUCAAAGAGCUAUGAAGGAAAGAAUGGAGCUUGUAUUUCCCAAUUCAGACGGCACUACAAGGACCAUUUCACUGUCCCCUUUGGCUUCUGCAUCUUGCUUCCAGCGUGAACAGACAGCCAUCCUGCAGACAUCAAGCACAUGACUGUCGUUGUGGAUCCAGUCUUCAUGGCCUCCAGAGUGCAGACACCCAGGAGCUUUAGUGUUUGUGUAUUAAGAUCUCGCCAUUUGUGGCAUAAAGCAAUUUGUUAGUCAUGACUUUUGAUAUUAGUAAGUUACUGUGCAGAGCACACAGA
rnacentral:lncRNA from 1 species